UAUUUUCAAAACCCUAAAGUUAAAUUUAUAAAUAACAUAGAUUAGAGAAAGGUGUUUUAACCUACAAACAUAUGUGUGUGUGUAUAUAUAUAUAUAAAAGGAGAUGGGUAGAAGAGAAAAUUAGAUAGGGAAAAGUUUGAAGUGGGAGAGAAUGGCAAGAUACAACAACUACUACUACUACCGCUACCCUUACUUGGAGUACUUGACAUUGCCUCCUUUGCAGCUUUGUGUGUUUAUUGUGAUCCUUUUGGUGGUGAUGGCCUUUUCAUGGACUCCCUCCAUCGCGCUGGUGGCUCACCUUGGGGCGUUGCCAUCCUCCUCGUUUUCUUCCUCUAUGUUAUCUCUCACCAGUCUCAUUACCACCAACGUUGGUUUCCUUUCGGACAUAGAUAAUGCCUAUGACCACAUAUUAACUAUUUGAAUUAUGUCUGAGUUGUACUAUAUUACACUCUUUGGUUAUUUUUGUAUCAUUUGUAUCACUGGGAUUAUUGUAUUACAAUAUAACGACUUCUUUGUUCUUGUA